rnacentral:rRNA from 1 species
GUCUACAGCCAUACCACCCUGAACACGUCCAAUCUUGUCUGAUCUCAGAAGCUAAGCAGGGUCAGGCCUGGUUAGUACUUGGAUGGGAGAAACACUUGUGAAGUUCACA